ACUCCUACGGGAGGCAGCAGUGGGGAAUAUUGCACAAUGGGCGAAAGCCUGAUNCAGCCAUNCCGCGUGUAUGAAGAAGGCCUUCGGGUUGUAAAGUACUUUCAGUUGUGAGGAAGGGGGU
rnacentral:rRNA from 1 species